AGUUGGUGAUGUGGGCAAUCCCGAAGAAGAGCCUUGAAGCAUUCCCAAGCAUGAUAAAGGUUUUCAUCAGGCUUCUGUUUGAAGCUCACUAUUUCACUAUGAAGUCU
rfam:Capsicum annuum cultivar Zunla-1 chromosome 9, whole genome shotgun sequence